UACGGAGGGUGCAAACGUUGCUCGGAAUUAUUGGGCGUAAAGCGCACGUAGGCGGACCAUCAAGUCGGUUGUGAAAUCCCUCGGCUUAACCGAGGACGUGCAUCGAAACUGAUGGCCUUGAGUUCGAAAGAGGAUCGCGGAAUUCCCGGUGUAGAGGUGAAAUUCGUAGAUAUCGGGAGGAACACCAGUGGCGAAGGCGGCGACCUGGGCCAAUAUUGACGCUGAGGUGGCGAAAGCGUGGGGAGC
rnacentral:rRNA from 1 species